GCACAUUCAGAGAAAAUGGAUCUACUACUGAUUACAUGUGUCUUAGCAUUGAUAUUCUGUAUGUAAUCCUGUUGCUCUCUAGACCUGUUUAUGUAAUAUUGCUUAUUGUGACACAUUAUUAAAUCAGAUACUUUUUUUUUUCCCCAGAUGUUGACUCCCAGAGUCCUCUGUUAACACCAGCUACUCUUUCAGUGAAUAAAGGACAAACUGCAACAUUUAACUGUGAUGUUGGAGUUAAAAGCAAUGGUGCUAUACCUUUCUACAGACAGUCACCAGGAGAGGUCUCGCAGCUUUUGGUAUUGCAUCACCAUUCAUACACAGAACCUAGAUAUGGACCAGGAAUAUCAUCCGCACAUUAUGGCUGCACUAUAAAUAGUGCUGGGACACAGUAUCAACUGAUUAUCAAAAACACAGUCGGCUUGGAUACUGGUUUUAUUUACUGCGCUAAAUGGUAUGAUAAUGUAGGAAACCACUGUGAUACACAGCUCAACAAAAACCUAGCAGAAGUACUAG